rnacentral:lncRNA from 1 species
CCCCCCCACCACAUCCCACCCGUCUGGGGCUCCAGGGGCAUCUGAGGGGUAAUUAGUGACUUCUUUGAUGAUCACCUACCGCCUGCCAGCACCUUACUGAGCACUCAGGAUUCAUCAUCUCGUGGGACGCUCAGCCAACCGCGUGGGGUGAGCUGUGCCGUUUGCUGCAUCUGCAGAGAGGAGACUGGUCCCAAUAGGCUGGACACUGCCGCAGGCAGACAGCAGGAGGUGGCCGAGCGGGACCAGAAGCCAUGGGACCUCCCUGGUGCCUGAGUGCCCCAGCACAGGGCUGAGACGCAAUAGCAGGUCACAGAAGUUGUUCAAGGUCAAGGGUAUGUUCAAGGUUUACAGAAAAAAACACAUUUGACUUCGGUGUCAUAUAUGACGGGUUCUCAUGCAGGAGAGCUUUGUGAUGUCACGAUGUCACCAUGUCAGACACGACAGGUUCUCGUGCAGGAGAGCUCUGCGAUGCCUGUGGCCAUGAUGUCACCAUGUCAGACACAACGGGUUCUCGUGCAGGAGAGCUUUGCGAUGCCACGAUGUCACCAUGUCAGACACGACGGGUUCUCAUGCAGGAGAGCUUUGCGAUGCCACAAUGUCACCAUGUGGUUUGCAUUUUCAUAUCCACCUGUUGGAAAGGUCCUCAUUCGCCAACUGUGGGAGCUGGCACACUUUACUGGCAGUGUUGACAAAAAGCCAAGCUCUGUGAAAUAUUUGAAGAGGUUUAUUCUGAGCCAAAUGUGAAGACUAUGACCUGUGACACAGCCCUGGGAGGUCCUGAGAAUAGCUGCCUAAGAUUGCUGGGUUACAGCCUGAUUUUAUACAUUUUAAGGGGACAGAAGUUAGAGGCAGAGAGGUCAGUCAGUACAUGGAGAGUGCACAUUGGUUCAGCCCAGAAAGGUCUGAAAACAGGCUUCUA